AGAUGGGGUACUAAGGAUGCUGAAAAUACAAAUGUCAACCGCAAUUUGCAGGGAUCUUCCCUAAAACACGUGUCAUCCAGAAAUUCAGCAGAUGAUGGGUACUUGAUUUCAGUGGCAUUUUCAGGAGAUGAAGAUGAUCCCUUAUCCUUACCAUGUGCCAGAUGAUGCUGAGGAUAACAGCAACAGAGACCAAGCUACUUUUAACUUGG
rnacentral:lncRNA from 1 species